rnacentral:rRNA from 1 species
AACGAACGCUGGCGGCAUGCCUAACACAUGCAAGUCGAACGAGACCUUCGGGUCUAGUGGCGCACGGGUGCGUAACGCGGGGGAACCUGCCCUUAGGUUCGGAAUAACUCCCCGAAAGGGGUGCUAAUACCGGAUAAUUUCUUCGGACCAAAGAUUUAUCGCCUUUGGAUGGGCCCGCGUUGGAUUAGCCAGUUGGUAGGGUAAAAGCAUACCAAGGCGACGAUCCAUAGCUGGUCUGAGAGGAUGAUCAGCCACACUGGGACUGAGACACGGCCCAGACUCCUACGGGAGGCAGGAGUGGGGAAUAUUGGACAAUGGGCGAUAGCCUGAUCCAGCAAUGCCGCGUGAGUGAUGAAGGCCUUAGGGUUGUAAAGCUCUUUUACCCGGGAUGAUAAUGACAGUACCGGGAGAAUAAGCUCCGGCUAACUCCGUG